UACGUAGGGUGCAAGCGUUAAUCGGAAUUACUGGGCGUAAAGCGUGCGCAGGCGGCUUUGCAAGACAGAUGUGAAAUCCCCGGGCUUAACCUGGGAACUGCAUUUGUGACUGCAUGGCUGGAGUGCGGCAGAGGGGGAUGGAAUUCCGCGUGUAGCAGUGAAAUGCGUAGAUAUGCGGAGGAACACCGAUGGCGAAGGCAAUCCCCUGGGCUGACACUGACGCUCAGGCACGAAAGCGUGGGGAGCAAACAGG
rnacentral:rRNA from 1 species